AUAUCCCAAACAAAAAAAUACAUCAACAAAUUAUAUCAAAAUUGUGAAUAAAUCUGGAAUAAAUCAUGUUUUCCUGAUUUGUUAAUACAAUUUGUUCAUGAUUCAUUAAAUGAAUCAUAAAUAAAUUGUGCUUAUACUGGAAUGAAAAGACCCCAUUUAUUAUAGAUUCAUUAUAAAAGUCAGAUUUAUUAACCAUUGAUUACAAACAUAAGAUAUAUUCAAUACAAUUUAUUGCAAAUUCAUUACACUUGAACUGGAAUGUAUACAAUUUAUUCAUGAUUUAUUGGAAAUAGAACUUUUCCGACUGCAUUUAAUACCAUUUAUUACAAUUCAUUACACUUUAAAGUUCUGAGAUAUUCACAAGUUGUUCAUGAUUCAUUAAAAUCAGAGAUUUUCCAGGAUUUAUUCAAUACAAUUCAUAACAUAUUCAUUGUACUUCAGAUGUUCAUAAUUUGCUUAAUUAUAACAGAAAUUUUCAUUGAUGUAGGUCCUUUUGUUUUACUGUUCAUAACAACUAAACCCCUCUCAACUAUACAAUUUUUUUUUUAAUUUCCCUUUACUCAUUACCGUACUUGUUUUUAAUCAGUCACUGGAAAAUAUAUAUGGGUUUUUCAAGUCUUUUAGUUUAAGCAUCACCAUAUUAUUAAUUCCAUGCUCAGCGCAAAACGUAAAAAAGAGUCAAUUAUACAAACUCGUUUUACUGUUAAAUAUGUUUAACUAAUUUGCAUGUAGAUUUUAUUUUUGAGUGAUCAAGAUCAGUUUUUGUCUUUCUUAUUGUUAAUACGCAAUCUGAUCCAUACCCACGGCUUUUUAUGAUUAGAUCUAUCAUUAUCAGUAAAAAAACUGUCGAAUAGAUUAACGUAUUAUGCGUAAAAAGGUAAAAUGUCGUAAAAAAGCGACUUAAUUCUCUCGGACUUAACAUCUGUUGUUAGUUUAUUGUUUUGAACAGCAUGGCUCCCAGCCGCGCGAUUAAACGAUAAGAUCUUGCAGGGAACUGCAGCCUACCGAGCGCCCCCUAUCAGCCGACAACAGAACAAGAUUUAUAGGAAACGAAAUUUUUUGCCAUUUCGGAAAAAAGAUAUCUUACCAUACAAACAGUUUUCUUUCUUUUGGAUAUAACUAAUGUCAGAAACAAACUAACUUACAACAGAUUCUGUCAUUGCAGCUGCAAAAUUAAGAACUUCAUACAAUACUAUAGUAGCUAGGAAUAACAUUUCGUUUGCAUUAAUUCUAUGCAUAGGAAAAAGGCGGUUAUUUUGGAAGAUGAAAACUUGUGGUGUUACACAAAAAUAUGGAUAAAAAACAAUAUCAAGGCAUCUAGACUACUGAUAGAUGGUAUACUGAUAGACGUUAUCUCGCAGGAAACUGAAAAGAGCAGCCAAGAAAGGACAGAACGUAAAAAUCAGCAGCUCUGAUGAGAUGGUAAAAAGCAGAUAAACGGGAGAUAAUAAAAUGCAGAUGGACGGCUUCUUUGAUCGUGAAGAGUUUGCUGUUUAAGUUAUGGGACGAGGGCAUUCCAAGGAAAUGACAUAUAUGAGUCUUUGAAGCAGUAUGCCAUUCAUUGCAUCAGUAUAGAGAUUCAACAUUUAAUGAUUAUAGGAAUAAAAAUGGUGUAGCCCCAGACAGACAUUGAAAAGGAAGGCAAAGAUGUUUUCAGACUGACAUAAAGCCCUAGUUUCUAAAACUAGAAAUAUAUUCCUAACAGCAAGCACGACUAUUUUCCAGAAUUAUUCCCCUUUACUUGUUUACCUGACAUUACCUGUUUUAUUUGCAGGGAUAUUUUUGAAAUGAGCUAUGCACGUACAUUAUGAGUUUUCAAUGUUAUGAUGUGGUGGCAUAGAUUUUGUCACAAAUUUUAAUCUUGUUGUAUGUUCUUGAUUAAUCUAGUCAGCUUUUGUUUUUAAAAAAUAAAAGAAAAAUAAAUAAAAUUUAUCAAGAUAUGUUAUUAUUAUUAUUAUUAUUAUUUUCAUAUUUUCUCCGGAAUUGACACCAUCAUUGGAACCUGCAUUUAUUCAAAAUCCAUUAGAUGAAUAUAAGCAGGCAAGCCUGAUUUGUUAAUGAUUCAUUAAUACAUUGAAUUUCGGUUUAUGGAAGAAGAAAAAAUACAAUUUAUUAGUGAUUCAUUAACAAUUUAUUUGCAAUUCAUUAAUGAAUCAGUUGGUCAGCGAACCUAAUUUAUUGCCAAUUGAUUAACCUGAUUUGUUGAUAAUUCAUUGACUAAGUCAAGAAAAGGACCAAAUUCAUUACCCAUUUGUUAACCUGAUUUAUUAACAAUUUAUAAUAAGUUGGUAAAUGGACCCAAUUCAUUACCAAUUCAUUUCACUGAUUUAUUAACAAUUUAUUCAUAAUGCAUUGGCUCAUUUGCAUGUCAUUUCCAUCUAUAAUAAAUUGGGAAUAAAUGGUAAAUUUGUUUAUCAUUUAUUAUACUGAUUCAUUCCUAUCUUUUUUUUGUUU